rnacentral:rRNA from 1 species
GAUGAACGCUAGCGGGAGGCCUAACACAUGCAAGCCGAGCGGUAUUGUUUCUUCGGAAAUGAGAGAGCGGCGUACGGGUGCGGAACACGUGUGCAACCUGCCUUUAUCUGGGGGAUAGCCUUUCGAAAGGAAGAUUAAUACUCCAUAAUAUAUUGAACGGCAUCGUUUAAUAUUGAAAGCUCCGGCGGAUAGAGAUGGGCACGCGCAAGAUUAGCUAGUUGGUGAGGUAACGGCUCACCAAGGCGAUGAUCUUUAGGGGGCCUGAGAGGGUGAUCCCCCACACUGGUACUGAGACACGGACCAGACUCCUACGGGAGGCAGCAGUGAGGAAUAUUGGUCAAUGGGUGCAAGCCUGAACCAGCCAUCCCGCGUGAAGGACGACUGCCCUAUGGGUUGUAAACUUCUUUUGUAUAGGGAUAAACCUACCCUCGUGAGGGUAGCUGAAGGUACUAUACGAAUAAGCACCGGCUAACUCCGUGCCAGCAGCCGCGGUAAUACGGAGGGUGCAAGCGUUAUCCGGAUUUAUUGGGUUUAAAGGGUCCGUAGGCGGACUUAUAAGUCAGUGGUGAAAGCCUGUCGCUUAACGAUAGAACUGCCAUUGAUACUGUAAGUCUUGAGUAUAUUUGAGGUAGCUGGAAUAAGUAGUGUAGCGGUGAAAUGCAUAGAUAUUACUUAGAACACCAAUUGCGAAGGCAGGUUACCAAGAUAUAACUGACGCUGAGGGACGAAAGCGUGGGGAGCGAACAGGAUUAGAUACCCUGGUAGUCCACGCCGUAAACGAUGCUAACUCGUUUUUGGGCUUUAGGGUUCAGAGACCAAGCGAAAGUGAUAAGUUAGCCACCUGGGGAGUACGCUCGCAAGAGUGAAACUCAAGGGAAUUGACGGGGGCCCGCACAAGCGGUGGAUUAUGUGGUUUAAUUCGAUGAUACGCGAGGAACCUUACCAAGACUUAAAUGGGAAUUGACAGCUUUAGAAAUAGAGCUUUCUUCGGACAAUUUUCAAGGUGCUGCAUGGUUGUCGUCAGCUCGUGCCGUGAGGUGUUAGGUUAAGUCCUGCAACGAGCGCAACCCCUGUCACUAGUUGCCAUCAUUCAGUUGGGGACUCUAGUGAGACUGCCUACGCAAGUAGAGAGGAAGGUGGGGAUGACGUCAAAUCAUCACGGCCCUUACGUCUUGGGCCACACACGUAAUACAAUGGCCGGUACAGAGGGCAGCUACACAGCGAUGUGAUGCAAAUCUCGAAAGCCGGUCUCAGUUCGGAUUGGAGUCUGCAACUCGACUCUAUGAAGCUGGAAUCGCUAGUAAUCGCGCAUCAGCCAUGGCGCGGUGAAUACGUUCCCGGGCCU